GAACUAUGAUUACUCAAGAAUAAGCUUCUAACUUAAUUCUUAAGCAAUGAAAUAUUGUUUAUAGUUCU
rnacentral:tRNA from 1 species